UGGGGAAUUUUGGACAAUGGGGGAAACCCUGAUCCAGCCAUCCCGCGUGUGCGAUGAAGGCCUUCGGGUUGUAAAGCACUUUUGGCAGGAAAGAAACGUCAUGGGUUAAUACCCCGUGAAACUGACGGUACCUGCAGAAUAAGCACCGGCUAACUACGUGCCAGCAGCCGCGGUAAUACGUAGGGUGCAAGCGUUAAUCGGAAUUACUGGGCGUAAAGCGUGCGCAGGCGGUACGGAAAGAAAGAUGUGAAAUCCCAGAGCUCAACUUUGGAACUGCAUUUUUAACUACCGGGCUAGAGUGUGUCAGAGGGAGGUGGAAUUCUGCGUGUAGCAGUGAAAUGCGUAGAUAUGCGGAGGAACACCGAUGGCGAAGGCAGCCUCCUGGGAUAACAAUGACGCUCAUGCACGAAAGCGUGGGGAGCAAACAGG
rnacentral:rRNA from 1 species